GCAGUAGUUCAGCAACAUCACUUCUGACCAACCGGUGUUCAUUACAGCGAACGGCAUUAUUAGUUAAAAUGGCAAGUUUUGUAUCUACACUCCUGCUCCUUUUGGCGGCUUCCCAGGUUAAUUGUCAAUACUACGAUACCCACCGAC